rnacentral:rRNA from 1 species
AUUGAACGCUGGCGGCAGGCCUAACACAUGCAAGUCGAGCGGAUGAAGGGAGCUUGCUCCUGGAUUCAGCGGCGGACGGGUGAGUAAUGCCUAGGAAUCUGCCUGGUAGUGGGGGAUAACGUCCGGAAACGGGCGCUAAUACCGCAUACGUCCUGAGGGAGAAAGUGGGGGAUCUUCAGACCUCACGCUAUCAGAUGAGCCUAGGUCGGAUUAGCUAGUUGGUGGGGUAAAGGCCUACCAAGGCGACGAUCCGUAACUGGUCUGAGAGGAUGAUCAGUCACACUGGAACUGAGAGACGGUCCAGACUCCUACGGGAGGCAGCAGUGGGGAAUAGUGGACGAUGGGCGAAAGCCUGAUCCAGCCAUGCCGCGUGUGUGAAGAAGGUCUUCGGAUUGUAAAGCACUUUAAGUUGGGAGGAAGGGCAGUAAGUUAAUACCUUGCUGUUUUGACGUUACCAACAGAAGAAGCACCGGCUAACUUCGUG